rnacentral:rRNA from 1 species
GACGAACGCUGGCGGCGUGCUUAACACAUGCAAGUCGAACGGAAAGGCCCUGCUUGCAGGGUACUCGAGUGGCGAACGGGUGAGUAACACGUGGGUGAUCUGCCCUGCACUUCGGGAUAAGCUUGGGAAACUGGGUCUAAUACCGGAUAGGAGCCAUCUUUAGUGUGGUGGUUGGAAAGUUUUUUCGGUGUAGGAUGAGCUCGCGGCCUAUCAGCUUGUUGGUGGGGUAAUGGCCUACCAAGGCGGCGACGGGUAGCCGGCCUGAGAGGGUGUACGGCCACAUUGGGACUGAGAUACGGCCCAGACUCCUACGGGAGGCAGCAGUGGGGAAUAUUGCACAAUGGGCGCAAGCCUGAUGCAGCGACGCCGCGUGGGGGAUGAAGGCCUUCGGGUUGUAAACUCCUUUCGCUAGGGACGAAGCGUUUUUGUGACGGUACCUAGAUAAGAAGCACCGGCUAACUACGUG